ACCACCAGCACUAUGCCCUACCAAUAUCCAGCACUGACCCUGGAGCAGAAGAAGGAGCUCUCUGACAUCACUCACCGAAUCAUGACCCCGGGCAAAGGUGUCCUGGCUGCAGAUGGAAGCAUUGCCAAGUGCCUGCAUUCCAUUGGCACUGAGAAUGCCCAGGAGGACCAACUUCCUCUGCCUGCUGCUACUGACAGCUGAUGACCAUGCGAAUCCCUUCAUUGGGUAUGCUCUAUUGGAGGCAGAUCAUGGGUGUCCCCUCCCCCAAGUUAUCAAAUCCAAGGGCAGUGUUAUGGGCAUCAAGGUAGCUAAGGGCGUGGUACCUCUGGCAGGAACAAAUGGCAAGACUACCACCCAAGGGCUGGAUGGACUGUCUGAGCGCUGUGUCCAGAAAAAGAAGUAUGGAACUGACUUUGCCAAGUGGACUUGCUUAUCUAGUCUUUUAUUUUAUUUGGGGAUUGGUGAGCACACCCCCUCAACCCUCACUAUCAUGGAAAAUGCCAGUGUUCUGGCCUGUUAUGUCAGCAUCUGCCAGCAGAAUGGCAUUGUGCCCAUCGUGGAGCCUGAGAUCCUAAUGGGGACCAAGACUUGAAGCACUGUCAGUAUGUAGCCAAGAAGGUGCUGGCUGCUAUCUACAAGGCUCUGAGUGACCACAACAUUUACCUAGAAGGCACCUUGCUGAAGCCAAAUUUGGUAACGCCAGGCCAGGCCUGCACUCAGAAGUUUUCUCAUGAAGAGAUUGCCAUGGCAACUGUCACUGGGAUCACCUUCCUAUCUGGAGGCCAGAGUGAAGAGGAGGCAUCCAUCAGCCUAUAUGCCAUCAACAAGUGCCCCCUGCUGAAGCCAUGAGUGCUGACCUUCUCCCAUGGCCGAGCCCUCAGGACUCUGCCCUGAAGGCCUGGGGUGGGAAGAAGGAGAACUCCAGGAGGAGUAUGUCAAAUGAACCCUGGCACCUUUUACCUGUCAAGGAAAGAACACCCCAAGUGGUCACCUGGGGCCACAGCCAGUGAGUCCUUCUUCGUCUCUAACCAUGCCUACUAA